AAUUGGCCAAAUGAGAAAAGUAAACCCGCCCAACUGACGACAGGAAGCAGCUAAUUAGGGCUGAAUAAGUUAAAUAUAUUUCGUCUAAUAAUUAUGCAUAAUGACGGGAUACACUAAGAAGCGGGUGGGGCUUAACAGGGGAAAUGACUGCUCGGGCGACCAGUUCGAGAUGUUCUCAACCAUCCUGUUCUCAAUAAUGUUCAUGGACACGCACACUUGACAGCUGCCAUUAGCACCAUCUAUGAAGGAACUUCCUUCUCACUGGAAACAUCGUUGCAACUGCUCUCUGAAGGCGUUUGUGAUUAAGGCUGCAAACCUAUGUUCACUUACUUGGGAGUUAAGCCUCGGUGAUUGUAAUGGGGCUCACUUCUGAGUAGACAGAGAAUCGGCACAAAGGUUUGUUUGUGGGCAGUGCAGUAGCUACAACUUUUUUGCCCUGGGUGAAGCCCCCACAGGAGCUGCCAGCCUGAGUGGAAAGCAUAAUGCUGGUGGUCGACAAAAGAAGUUUAAAGACUCUCUCAAGGCAAAUCUCUUAAAAUGUAGUAUAAACACCAACAACUGGGAAACACUGGCCUGCAAGUGCUCCUGUUGGAGAACAGCCUUUACCAAAGGUGUCGUGGGCUUUGAAGCUUGAAUGUGGGAUGAAUGGGAGAAACAUGCUAAGAGGAAAGCACGCUUGGCAAACCCUCACCAUGAUCAACUCCUGCCCAGAAACCUAUGUGCCCACUGUGGAAGGACAUGUGGAUCCAAAAUUGGCCUCCACAGUCAUUUACGGACUCAUUGUUAAGACCAUGUUCAUGGAAGACAAUCUUACUCAGCUAUGAGUGAUUGCCAAAGAGGAAGAAGUGUGUAUGCAAAUGCACAUGGGUGGGUGUGCCAAACUGGGUCUUUGACCUGGGUAAAAUAAAGCCUAGUUUCACCCCUGCAAGUGGGAAUAGUUGCUUUUACAUUAAGUAUCCUGCUUGUGGGCUUCCCAGAGGUGUAUAGUUGCGACUCUAUGAGAACAGAAUGGACUAGGUGCACUUUUGACCUGAUUCCCACAAGGGUCUUCUUAGUGCCCAUCCACACUGCUGAAUGUUAUGGAUUGUGUACCCCUUGUGCAUCCUUUAAUUCCCCCUCGGGAGCUGGGCUCCCCCCCUUUUAAUUAUUCCACUGUUUGUGUGUUUAAUUGUUAUUUAUUGAAUGUGUUAACACAAAAUACAUAAAAACAACAACAGAACAAUAACCUCCCCUCCCAUAAACACAUUUAGAAAAAUAUAGGAUGUUAAUCCACCCAAGGCAUGGUUGAAGAGGAACGUUUUCCCCUGGUGUUUAAAGGUGUAUAAUGAAGGUGCCAGGCAAGCCUCCCUGGGGACAGCAAUCCACAAACAGGGAGACACUGCAGAAAAGGCCCGUUCUUGUUUUACCACCCUCUGGACCUCUUGCGGAGGAGGCACAUGAAAAAAGGCCUUAGAUGAUGAUUGCAUUUUUUUUUGGUGCAUAAAUGUAAAGCUACCAUUUUGCCUUCACUGCAUAAGGACACUUUUUACCAGUAGAAUACAGGAUUAUCAGAUUUCCGGACUCAGUUCAAGGUUCUGGUUUUGAUCUAUAAAGCCUUGUUUACUUAUUAAAUUUAUAGCCUGCCCUUUUUCCCGAAAUAGCACAGGCGGGCCACUUCUUCCCAUACAAACACGCCUGGACCCUGGGGUCUACAUCAGAAGCCCUUUUCUGGGCACCCAUGGAAGGUGAAGAGGUGCAGCCACAUUCCCCUAAGCUGCAGCCACAUUGCUCAUUGGGAGCUGCUAUGAGUUGCAGAGAAGAAAACCUGAGUUGUUACAUUUCUUAGCUAGCAAAUUUUGCUUUUCCAUGGCUAACAGCAAAUGAGGUCCAUGGAGGAGGAGGAGAAGGGAUAGACCCCUUUUCCGCCAUGCUAUGGUCCUGCUGAAGGGGCAAGUUUGAGAGGCACCUGCACCAUAUGCAUUUUAAAAGCACAUACUGUAGUUUGCUUCAGGGAUGCAUCACAUUGGUCCUCCAGGGGUUGCUGGAGCCGUUUUAGGAAAAUCUCUCUCCCCCCCCCCCCAAUAGUGAUGUUAAGCUUUUUGAGCUGUUUCUGUUGCUUUUCCCAUCACAUUGCCAUACAUCCAUUUCACCUGACAUUUUGCUGAUUCAGCAAAAAUUUCCCGACACCAUUUUUAUGCCCCCAAACUAGGACAUGUCAGGAAACAUGUCAAGCCUUCGCUUGACUCUCAUCAGCUAGCAUGGCCAAUAGUCAGGGAUGAUGGGAGUUGGCUCUGUGGUCUAAACCACUGAGCCUCUUGGGCUUGCUGAUCGGAAGGUUGGUGGUUCAAAUCCCCAUGACAGGUGAGCUCCAGUUGCUCUGUCCCAUCUCCUGCCAACCUAGCAGUUUGAAAGCACACCAGUGCAAGUAGAUAAAUAGGUACCACUGCGACGGGAAGGUAAAUGGCGUUUCUGUGCGCUCUGGCACUCAUUACAGUCCUCCGUGCGCCAGUAGCGGUUUAGUCAUGCUGACCACAUGACCCGGAAAACUGUCUGUGGACAAACACGGGCCCUCAGCCUGAAAGCAAGAUGAGCGCCGCAACCCCAUAGUUGCCUUUGACUGGACUUAACCGUCCAGGGGUCCUUUGCCUUUUUACCUUUACCUAGUCCACCAACAUCUGAAGGCGCACAAGUUCCUUGCCGCUGGCCUACUUCCUUGUGAGUGAUUCCUGUGAAGCCCUUUGUAUGUGUGAACUAGAAAUGUUUUCAAAGCAAGUAGUGUUGGGGGUGGGGCACUGG